rnacentral:rRNA from 1 species
CCAAUAGCGUAUAUUAAAGUUGUUGCAGUUAAAAAGCUCGUAGUUGAAUUUCGGGAUUUAUCCGUCGGUCGGGCUUUUGGGUCUGUACUGGCGUGAUGGAUUCCUACCUUCUGAAUAACCGGCAUGUCAUUAAUUUGGUGCGCCGGGGAAGCAGGACUGUUACCUUGAAAAAAUUAGAGUGCUUAAAGCAGGCUUAUGCCUGAAUACAUUAGCAUGGAAUAAUGAAAUAGGACGGCAUGGUUCUAUUUUGUUGGUUUCUAGGAUCGCCGUAAUGAUUAAUAGGGAUAGUUGGGGGCAUUAGUAUUCAAUUGUCAGAGGUGAAAUUCUUGGAUUUAUUGAAGACUAACUUCUGCGAAAGCAUUUGCCAAGGAUGUUUUCAUUAAUCAAGAACGAAAGUUAGGGGAUCGAAGACGAUCAGAUACCGUCGUAGUCUUAACCAUAAACUAUGCCGACUAGGGAUCGGAUGAUGUUAAUUUUUUAAUGACUCGUUCGGCGCCUUACG